UGAGUGGAUCCUGAGUACGACGGAACACGAGAAAUUCCGUCGGAAUCCGGGAGGACCAUCUCCCAAGGCUAAAUACUCUCUAGUGACCGAUAGUGAACCAGUACCGUGAGGGAAAGGUGAAAAGUACACCGGAAGGGGAGUGAAAUAGAACUUGAAACCGUGUGCUUACAAGUAGUCAGAGCCCGUUAAUGGGUGAUGGCGUGCCUU
rnacentral:rRNA from 1 species